GAUGAACGCUGGCGGCGUGCUUAACACAUGCAAGUCGAACGGAAAGGCUCCUGCUUGCAGGGGUACUCGAGUGGCGAACGGGUGAGUAACACGUGGGUGAUCUGCCCUGCACUUCGGGAUAAGCCUGGGAAACUGGGUCUAAUACCGGAUAGGACGAUGGUUUGGAUGCCAUUUUGGAAAGUUUUUCGGUGUGGGAUGAGCUCGCGGCCGAUCAGCUUGUUGGUGGGGUAAUGGCCUACCAAGGCGACGACGGGUAGCCGGCCUGCGAGGGGGAACGGCCACAUUGGGACUGAGAAAAGGCCCAGCGUCCUACGGGAGGAAGCGGUGGGGAAUAUUGAACAAUGGGCGAAAGCCUGAUGCAGCGGCGCCGGGUGGGGGAGGACGGCCUUCGGGUUGUAAACCUCUUUCAGCAGGGAAGAAGCGAAAGGAAGGGUACCUGAAGAAGAAGCACCGGCUAACUACGUG
rnacentral:rRNA from 1 species